rnacentral:tRNA from 2 species
GUCUCUUUCGUCUAGAGGUUAGGACAAUGCUUUUUCACAGCAUAAACGCGAGUUCGAUUCUCGCAAGAGAUA